rnacentral:rRNA from 1 species
UACGUAGGGUGCAAGCGUUUGUCCGGAAUUAUUGGGCGUAAAGAGCUCGUAGGCGGUUCGUCACGUCGGCUGUGAAAUCCCGAGGCUCAACCUCGGGUCUGCAGUCGAUACGGGCGGACUGGAGUACUGCAGGGGAGACUGGAAUUCCUGGUGUAGCGGUGAAAUGCGUUGAUAUUAUGGGGAACACCAAAAGCGAAGGCAGCAGACUGGAGCACUCCUGACACUGAAACAAGAAAGCGUGGGUAGCGAAUGGG